rnacentral:rRNA from 1 species
AUUGAACGCUGGCGGCAGGCCUAACACAUGCAAGUCGAGCGGAGCGGCGGACGGGUGAGUAAUGACUAGGAAUCUGCCUGGUAGUGGGGGAUAAAGUCCGGAAACGGGCGCUAAUACCGCAUACUAUCAGAUGAGCCUAUGUCGGAUUAGCUAGUUGGUGGUGUAAAGGCCUACCAAGGCGACGAUCCGUAACUGGUCUGAGAGUAUGAUCAGUCACGCUGGAACUGAUACACGGUCCAGACUCCUUCGGGAGGCAGCAGUGGGGAAUAUUGGACAAUGGGCGAAAGCCUGCUCCAGCCAUGCCGCGUGUGUGAAGAAGGUCUUCGGUUUGUAAAGCACUUUAAGUUGGGAGGCGUUACCAACAGAAUAAGCACCGGCUAACUUCGUGCCAGCAGCCGCGGUAAUAC